GCGGCCUUGGUGGCAGCAGCUGUGUCCUAUCAGUGUGAGUGCCUUUGUGCUGGUCUACCUCAGACAGCAGCUCUCGGUCCACUGUCUCUGUGGUGGUUGGCUCUCAGGCCUCACGGGUUCCGAGCGGCGCAUGUCUGCCGCCAGGUUGGAAAUGUCAACAUGUGUGAGAGGUACUGGCGCUGCGAGCGAUCUGAAUGUAAUCCCAAAACACAACAACAGCUCUGCAGGCGCUGGCGUGCGGCCAAGCUGGGAGGAGGUCAGAUGAAAGGCCCAUCAAGAGGAACCACCGGGUAUACCACGCAAAUGUCUUUCAUCAAGCUUGACGGAGCCAUAACGAGAAACCUAUUAAGUAAAAAUUUGUGAAGAUGAA